UACGUAGGGUGCAAGCGUUAAUCGGAAUUACUGGGCGUAAAGCGUGCGCAGGCGGUUUUGUAAGUCUGUCGUGAAAUCCCCGGGCUUAACCUGGGAAUUGCGUUGGAGACUGCAAGGCUGGAGUCUGGCAGAGGGGGGUAGAAUUCCACGUGUAGCAGUGAAAUGCGUAGAGAUGUGGAGGAACACCGAUGGCGAAGGCAGCCCCCUGGGUCAAGAUUGACGCUCAUGCACGAAAGGCGUGG
rnacentral:rRNA from 1 species